rnacentral:rRNA from 1 species
CCCUUAGAUGUUCUGGGAUGCACGCGCGUUACACUGAUUCGUUCAACGAGUUUAUGACCUUGCCUGAUGAGGUGGGGGAAUCUUUUCAAAUCGCAUCGUGAUGGGGAUAGAGUAUUGUAACUGUUAGUCUUCAACGAGGAAUUCCUAGUAAGUACGUGUCAUCAGCUCGUACUGAUUAUGUCCCUGCCCUUUGUACACACCGCCCGUCGCUCCCACCGAUUGAGUGCUCAGGUGAAUAGUAUGGACUGCAUCAGUGUUCGGUCUCCGAAUGUUGACGCGAGAAAUUCUGUGAAUCUUAUUGCUUAGAGGAAGGAGAAGUCGUAACA